AAGAGUUAUGCAAAGCAGAAACUUCACAUUGAUUUUGUGAGCUCAAGAUAUUUGUCACUGACCAAAAACCAGGAACUGCACACAGAGCUGAGAUGCAAUUAUGGAGUCCCAAGAGGCCUUUUCAGACACCUUAAGUCAAGCUGUCAAACUCAUUGUCCAGAAGGUAAGAGCUUCUACAACAGCAUUCCUACUCCUUGCCUUCUGGACCACAAGAACUGCAAAAACUGCUGCUGAGCACGCCUACUUACAAACUGGGUGUGGCUCCCUGCACCUAUUGCGGCUUCCACUUGAGGGCAACUGCUUUUGGGUGUGGGUCAUUAGACCCUUUAAGAGCCUCCUGACUCCAAUGGCAGAAACAUGGCAUUUCCACAGCUUUUCUACUGCUUUAGCCACCUUCUUCCAUGAAAAAGCUAAGACUAGAACUCAGGGUGACGUGGGUUGCCUUGGGGGUCAGUUUUAGUGUUACUGAAGCAAGAAGAGAAAGAGGAGUGGGAGCCUAGCAUGGAAGGAGAAGAGAAAGAACUCUGUCUACCAUUAAACCCAUAAGACCUGACCAAGCGAAUUAAGAACCGUGUUUUUAUCUAUUACCCCUACACGGCUACCGGUUUUCUAGGACUUCCAUCCAUCCAUUCUUCAUGUUGGAGCAUCGUACUGUGACUGGAGGUGCCCUGUAGUCUUCUGUUCUUUUGUUCCUUGAGGUGCUGGGCGGCUGCCGACCGAAGGUUGUGGGCUGCUGAGGGCGGUGUGUUCUGGUGGCGCUGGGGCACUUCAGUGGUGAUGUGUACUCGGUGGUGUGUCCCUGGUGACGUUGGUGUGCUCCAGAGCUGCUCCAGCGAGCCUAAAAAUGGCUGUGAUCAAACCGCUGUUGAAAAAGCCAUUACUGGAUCCCACUCAAUUGGACAACUAUCGGCCUAUUUCCAAUUUCCCCUUUUUAGACAAGGUCGUGGAAUGUGUGGUGGCCGCACAACUCCAAGCAUUCUUGGAUGACACUGCCUAUCUAGAUCCGGCGCAGUCUGAGAUCUAGGCCGGGACACCUGCUCGGCCCCACAACUAUUGUCUUGUGGGGUCCCACAAGGGUCGGUACUCUCCCCCAUGUUGUUCAACAUAUACAUGAAGCCACUGGGAGAGAUCAUCUGGAGUUUUGGGGUACAGUGUCAUCUGUAUGCAGAUAAUGUCCAGCUCUGUCACUCCUUCCCACUUGUCAAUAAAGGGGUCGUUCAGGUCCUGAACCGGUGUUUA